CUAUCACUUACAGAUGGACCCGCGGCGCAUUAGCUAGUUGGUGAGGUAACGGCUCACCAAGGCGACGAUGCGUAGCCGACUUGAGAGGGUGAUCGGCCACACUGGGACUGAGACACGGCCCAGACUCCUACGGGAGGCAGCAGUAGGGAAUCUUCCGCAAUGGACGAAAGUCUGACGGAGCAACGCCGCGUGAGUGAUGAAGGUUUUCGGAUCGUAAAACUCUGUUGUUAGGGAAGAACAAGUAUCGUUCGAAUAGGGCGGUACCUUGACGGUACCUAACCAGAAAGCCACGGCUAACUACGUGCCAGCAGCCGCGGUAAUACGUAGGUGGCAAGCGUUGUCCGGAAUUAUUGGGCGUAAAGCGCGCGCAGGCGGUUUCUUAAGUCUGAUGUGAAAUCUUGCGGCUCAACCGCAAGCGGCCAUUGGAAACUGGGAGACUUGAGUGCAGAAGAGGAGAGUGGAAUUCCACGUGUAGCGGUGAAAUGCGUAGAGAUGUGGAGGAACACCAGUGGCGAAGGCGACUCUCUGGUCUGUAACUGACGCUGAGGCGCGAAAGCGUGGGGAGCGAACAGGAUUAGAUACCCUGGUAGUCCACGCCGUAAACGAUGAGUGCUAAGUGUUAGAGGGUUUCCGCC
rnacentral:rRNA from 1 species